rnacentral:rRNA from 1 species
UACGUAGGGUGCGAGCGUUGUCCGGAAUUAUUGGGCGUAAAGAGCUCGUAGGCGGCUUGUCGCGUCGACUGUGAAAACUCGGGGCUCAACUCCGAGCUUGCAGUCGAUACGGGCAGGCUAGAGUUCGGGUAGGGGAGACUGGAAUUCCUGGUGUAGCGGUGAAAUGCGCAGAUAUCAGGAGGAACACCGGUGGCGAAGGCGGGUCUCUGGGCCGAUACUGACGCUGAGGAGCGAAAGCGUGGGGAGCGAACAGG